ensembl:misc_RNA Metazoa_SRP Metazoan signal recognition particle RNA
GCUGGGUGUGAUAACUCACACCUGUAAUCCCAGUACUUUGGGAGGCUGAGGCAGGAGAAUUGCUUGAGCCUGGGAGUUUGAGACCAGCCUGGGCAACAUAGUGAGACCCUGUCUCUA